rnacentral:rRNA from 1 species
AUUGAACGCUGGCGGCAUGCCUUACACAUGCAAGUCGAACGGCAGCACGGGAGCAAUCCUGGUGGCGAGUGGCGAACGGGUGAGUAAUAUAUCGGAACGUGCCCAGUCGUGGGGGAUAACGCAGCGAAAGCUGUGCUAAUACCGCAUACGAUCUAAGGAUGAAAGCGGGGGAUCGCAAGACCUCGCGCGAUUGGAGCGGCCGAUAUCAGAUUAGCUAGUUGGUGGGGUAAAGGCCCACCAAGGCGACGAUCUGUAGCUGGUCUGAGAGGACGACCAGCCACACUGGAACUGAGACACGGUCCAGACUCCUACGGGAGGCAGCAGUGGGGAAUAUUGGACAAUGGGCGAAAGCCUGAUCCAGCAAUUCCGCGUGUGUGAAGAAGGCCUUCGGGUUGUAAACCGCUUUUGUCAGGGAAGAAACGCUCUGGACUAAUACUCUGGGGUAAUGACGGUACCUGAAGAAUAAGCACCGGCUAACUACGUGCCAGCAGCCGCGGUAAUAC